UACGGAGGGAGCUAGCGUUGUUCGGAUAUACUGGGCGUAAAGCGCACGUAGGCGGCGCCGUAAGUCAGGGGUGAAAUCCCGGAGCUCAACUCCGGAACUGCCCUUGAAACUGCAGUGCUAGAAUCUUGGAGAGGCGAGUGGAAUUCCGAGUGUAGAGGUGAAAUACGUAGAUAUUCGGAAGAACACCAGUGGCGAAGGCGACUCGCUGGACAAGUAUUGACGCUGAGGUGCGAAAGCGUGGGGAGCAAACAGG
rnacentral:rRNA from 1 species